GCUACAGGCUCAGGGAAGACGUGAAAACAGCGCCUCUCGCCAUGGCCUUAAGGAAAUGAAACUCCAAGAUUUGCAGAGGGAAUUCAAUCACUCUGGACCUCCGUGACAGGCACACAGAGCACAAACACAGAAUAAGCGGAAGCCAAGGCACAGUGUCUGUUCCUCUUGCGUGGCGUGGUGAGUGGAGAGAGGCAGAGGCUGCGUGAAAAACAUUUGGGACCAUACGCCCAGUAGACCUCCAACACAGAGGGAGGCUAGCCAUCCCCUCUGAACGCUGGAAUCUUCAUACACAGCUCUUUGGCGGCGCGACCUUCAGUGAUUGUCUCCGUAGCCAAAGUGAUAAAGAACACAGCCAUACUUCAGAGAGAGAAGCGGACCACGCACAUCACAGUGUGGACCAGGCCUGCGCUCAAGCAGGUCUAGGUAGGCUCCGUGACUCAUCUGUCACUUAUCAGCUAUGAAAUUGACCACGUGACCGAUGUUCUCCGAUCAGCAGCAACUCUGUCAGAGGGUCUGCCAAAGCCCACCUCCGAGGCUCAUGGAGGAGCUGCCCACUUCACGAGCUGUGCACAGAACCUCCCGGGCUGCUCUCAAUACCCACUGGUUUUGUUUGUCUGUGUCCUGGAGUGGGAGGCAGCAGGGAGGAAGCUGGGAGCUGCGUCACCCAGCAGUCUACCUGUAAAGUUUGCAUGCUACAUGUGUGCGUGCCUGUGGUGCCACCCAGAGCCAGAGGCCUGUCAACGGCUGCAGAUAGAUGGCAGGUGUGCACACUCUCUGUUCAUGCCAAGCUGCCUCCCCUUCAUAAAGACCUGGUUCUUGUUGGCUACUCUCCUGCUCCUCCCCCCCAUCUCCCUCCCCCCACCCCAGCCAAGCUCAGUGAUCUAUUCUAAGCAGGCUGCUGUCCCUGGGCACACUCAGGCCUUCUGUUUGUCCAUAGCCAGCCUGUGAAACUCUCAUAAUGUAGCCUUGUUCUCCUUACCACACAGCAGCCCGCUGCUCAGAGCCUGCCUGGGGAGGAGGCCGUGCCAGCUGCACAGAGCUGGUUUCCAGGAAGACAUAAGCACUGUGUGUGGCCAGAGAUGGAGCCACCUCUCUGUUGGCAACCCCUUCAAAUUAGGGUCAAUUGGUUACAGGCAAAAGGCAUUUUCAACAAGCAGAGAAAGCAGGCUUCUCACUGAGCUCCAAUACACUAAAGGUUCAGGGCCUUUGCGAAGGACCGUCUGUCCCUUAUGGGACAACCUCAUCCUUCUUCAAGACUAAGCUGAAGUUGCCCUGUUUCCUGCUUAGUGGGCAUUCACAGCUGAAGGCCUCUCACUCUGUCAUCUUGCCCUGUUGGUUUUCCCUAUGUGUAUUUUCUGUUUUAUCUCUAGGCUCUCCUAUGUGUGCCCAACCUGAGCCCUGGGGCUGUUUGCAUCCAGGAGAGCCACCAUUGCAGUUUGACACAUUUGUAAACCACAAUAUCAAAUCACAGUAUCAAAGGUAGGACAUUUCUGCAAGAAGAAGGCCUCAAGAGAAGAAGAAGGACCUAUAGAGGUCCACUUCCCCAGGGUCUAGUAUAAUACCAGGCUCAGAGAAAGCCAUGGCCACAACUGGCCACCUGUCAGAAGUUAAUCUGACCAAGACUAACCACUCAGUGACCAAUUGCUUAACUGAUGAGAUCAGAGACAGGAACAGGAAUGAGAUCGAGUCCCCAUGCAGCAGGAAUCCUUGCCUAUAAUGGGUUUUUAACCAUACAAUCAGGUCAGAGGCAGGGCAGAUUUCUGGAGCUGAUGCCAAUCCUAGGCCUGACACAACACUGUACCACGAGUGAGGUCUGAGCAACCACGUCAGGGUGGUGUGCAGGACCUCAGAAUCCCUGUGCCUGCUACUCACUGGGCCUGGAACUCUGCCAGCCUGCAUGCAAGGAGGCUGCCUCAACGGAAGUGCCUCCUGGGGUGGACAGCCCCAUCUACAUUCUCCACUACUCUCCCUCUCCCCUCUGUCCAGCUCUUGCCCUGCCCAUCUCCAUGGAGACAGUAAUUCUACCUAUUCUCAUUACAAAGGGCUUGGGCUAGACCUGGCCUGUCCUGGCUUGCCCAUCCUCUGUCCUUGGUAUUCAGUAAUAGCAGCUCAGGGUACCCACCUAGUGACCAUUUCUUGUAGAGUAAACAAAGGACCUGCUACCUAUAGAGGUUCAUUCUUAGGCUGGUUCGGUCAGAACCUUAGGCACCAAGUACUUAGGCAAUAAAGAUAGAGUUUGUGGUUUUGUUAGUCUGUUUGGUGUUGGGGCUCAAACUCUGAUCUUAUGUGUGUCAGGAAAGGGCUCCUCUCUGGUACAGAGAUAGCACUGAAGCCUCAAGCCUGCCACUGGUGGUGGCAGGGGUGGGGGCAGGGGAAGGACAAAGCAACAAGUGAGUAUUGAGUGAAGGGCUGGGACAGAGGAGGGAGCACAGGAAUGUCUGAUCCCUGACCAGAGUGGCGGAGAAAGGCCAGGCAAGCAAGCCACACUGGAGCCCCAAGAGACCAACUGUGAUUUAGUAAGUAGGGCCACUAACAGGUAUUCUGUGUGACAGACUGUGAAGGGGCAGGGCAUGUGGAGCUGGCCUCAGGUGUACAGGGUCUGGAUUUGGUCCGAGUCAGUAACUAGUGUCAGCAAUAAAGAUCAGGGGCACAGGUUGCGCUCUCUCUCUCUCUCUCUCUCUCUCUCUCUCUCUCUCUCUCUCUCAGUUGUAGUUUUGGUUUUGGUUUUUUUUGAGACAUGGCUCUCUAUGUAACCUUGGCUGUCCUGGAACUAGGCUGACCUUGAACUCACAGAGAUCCUCCUGCCUCUGCCUUCUAAGUGUGGGAAUAAAGGUGUGUACCACUA